UGUGUUGCUUACCUGUCGAAAGGAAUACGAUCGUGUUGUUUCCCCUUUCCGCCCGAUGCCCUCUGUGGGUACGGGGUGGACGCCAGGCACGCUACGUGUUCCUCGCAUGCCUUGCCUAGUUGCGAUGCUGUUGAGGCCCAUGGAGCCGUCGCCCGUUCUCUCGGAUGCGGAAUGUCAUGCAUGGGUGCGGGGUCUCGGCCUCUGCUUGCCCAAGCUAUGCAUUCGUCCCUUGACACGAACGACUGUCGCGGCCGUCUUGAUCCCGUCGUAGCGUACGUGCUCGAUGGGGCUCAUGCGGCCGUCGGCGUCGUCGAGGAAUGCUACCUGGUUGAUCCUGCCAGUAGUCAU
rnacentral:misc_RNA from 1 species